rnacentral:rRNA from 3 species
CAACUUUUGACGGUGGAUCUCUUGGCUCACGUAUCGAUGAAGAACGCAGCCAGCUGCGAUAAGUAGUGUGAAUUGCAGAAUUCAGUGAAUCAUUGAAUCUUUGAACGCAAAUGGCGCUCUUGGGUUCUCCCAGGAGCAUGUCUGUCUGAGUGUCGGAU